GAAGCAAAAGGUUUCAAUAUCUUGUUAUGAUAUGUGUUUGCGGAUCACUUUUUUCGCCACCGAACAGCAGCGGAGAGAGGGGGGAAUGAGGAGGAGAAAGGCAUGCUCCGCGGGGCACUUCCUGCCCCAUUCUUUUACACUUUAUCAACCCACGGGUGCCAUUAGCCAGUUUUCGUGUGGCGAGAAUACAAUUUGAUUGCC
ensembl:ncRNA F56E3.10 ncRNA